AAGAAGAAUUCACACAGGAACCCGUCAGCCUGGACUCCUGCAGCAGCUGCAGAGACGACGGAGGAGCUUCGUCUUGACAAGCCUGAAUCAUGGGAAACAAAGGCUCAGUUACCAAUACGACUCCUUAUAACUGGGUACUUGACAAAGGAAGACAGUUUUCUGAGGAUGUUUGUACUCUAUACAGAAAUAGCACAAGAGAAUAUAAAGAAGAUUUCUUCCACAAUUAUCAGCUAUACCUUCGAUAUGAAAACCACUCAGACUGGGACCUUAAGACUUGGGGUGAUGGCGAUUCAUUCACCUUAAGAGAAAGCAGCGACCGCAGAUAUUUUGAACUGGUCAACAAUUCUUCUCGUCAGGUAGUCGACCGAUGUCCACACUUUGGCAGAAUUGAAGAAGAAAAACGAGAGAAAGAAAGAAAGGAGCGAGAGAGACGGCAACAAGAAGA